GACGAACGCUGGCGGUGUGCUUAACACAUGCAAGUCGAACGGUAAGGCCCUUUCGGGGGUACACGAGUGGCGAACGGGUGAGUAACACGUGAGUAACCUGCCCUCAUCUCUGGGAUAACAGUCGGAAACGGUUGCUAAUACUGGAUAUGAGCUUGCAAGGCAUCUUGUGGGUUGGAAAGAUUUUUUUUGGUUGGGGAUGGACUCGCGGCCUAUCCGCUUGUUGGUGGGGUAGUGGCUCACCAAGGCUUCGACGGGUAGCCGGCCUGAGAGGGCGACCGGCCACAUUGGGACUGAGAUACGGCCCAAACUCCUACGGGAGGCAGCAGUGGGGAAUAUUGCACAAUGGACGGAAGUCUGAUGCAGCAACGCCGCGUGCGGGAUGACGGCCUUCGGGUUGUAAACCGCUUUCAAUUGUGACGAAGCUUUUUUGUGACGGUAGCAGUAGAAGAAGCACCGGCUAACUACGUG
rnacentral:rRNA from 1 species